CAGCCUUUGUUCAUUCCAUGCAGAUGUCCUGAAUGCACACCCUGUGCAAAGGGGCGUAAACUGAGCACUUGUGGUUUCAUCCAGUUCUGGAAGAAGUGGCUGUGCAAUGGAAGGAGCCACUGUGAAUCACCAGAGUGGGGGGAAAAAAUGCAGAUUGAAAUAAACAGAGAGGCAACUGGAAAUGACGAGCAUGAGCAGGCGAUGACUAAGGGACAGAUCAGUGCGUCAGACAAGGAGCUCUUAUGGAGGUGGCUUGGAGGUGGGCAGGAGACCGGAAGAAAGAGCUAUCAUUACACUUUCAUGAUUGUGUGCCCACGUCCACCCAUGCAAAAAAAGGAGGCACUGGCCAGGAGCAAUGAUGCCAAGUACGCUAGUGUCUGUGAAGACGAAACACCUUCAGCACUAGGAAUUACUCUGCACCUUCUUCCGCCAGUCAGCCUUUCACCAGUCCUGCACUGAGGACUGGGGACAGCUCUCAACUUCCUGUUCUCAGCCUUCCCUUCCCUGUGCCUCCCAAUCCAUGUUUACCAUCAGAGCAGAAAGAAUUUGGAGAAAGGAAUGCCUUGGUCUAAGGAGACGAUACUGAGCUGGAUGGCACUUUCUCAAAUGUUGGAAGUGCUUUUUGCUGAAGAGAUUCUGUCCAGGUCCUUGUGUAAAGUGACUCGACUCUACACGUGUAUACUCUGAGUCACCUCCAGGAGGCUAAGGCAGAAGGAUUGCCACAACUUAGAGGCCAGCUCAGAAAACACAGUAUGAUUCUGUCUAAAACAAUAAUAAAUUUUAAAAGGAAGAGACCAAGAUAAGCAGCCUCAAAGGAAGGACAACCAUAUGAAGACUCGGGCUGAAGGUAGCAUCUGCAAGAACAAUACAGAGACCUCCGGAGAAACCAGCCCCACUUUGAGCUUGGAUCCCAGCCUCCAGAACAACAAGGAAAUACAUUUCUAUUAUUAAAUCAAGUCCAUGGCCUUCUAUCAGAGGAUCCAUAUAUGCACUAGUAUCAGAUGUCCUGAUUCUAAGCUCCCUAUGGAUGGAAAACUUCACCAGGCUCUUGAGGAUGGCAUCACUAGAUAGUGAGGGCCUUGUGUGCCCUGGAACCACUGUGAGUGACUUGGGUCACUUGUCUGUCCUGCCAAAGUCACUUAAAACAGCAGCAUGAAGCCACUCAUGGCCUCACUUUGCCCUAUCAUCCCACUGGUGCUGUACCCACAAGCUUAAAGCCUGAGGAGGUCCCCCUGGGAACCUGAGAGCAUUUCUUACAGGAAUUUCACAGGGGACCAUAUAAAGAACCUCUUUGAAGAAUUAGCAUCAGCGCUGGAGAGAUGGCUUAGUGAUUGAGAGCACUGGCUUUCUUUCUUUGGACCCAGGAUCAGUACCCAGCAUCCACAUGCACUUCACAAUUGUCUGUAAUACAAGUUCCAGGGGAUCUUACACCCCCAUACAAGCAAAACCCUGAUGUAUAUUAAAUUAAAAAAUUAAUAAAUCUUAAAAAAAAGAAAGAAAAAGAAUUAAUGUCAAGCCCCUGAUAAAUGUGUACAAUGGGUAAAGAGAAAGCUGUAUUUGGUUUGAACACAUGGCUCCUUCCUGGUAACUGUGCCUUUAAUAGCUUACCAGAGACAUGGACUUGCAAGAGUGGGACAGACACACCAGGCUUUCUUAGCACAAUAAGCCUGCAGUGAUUCCAAAUUUUCACCAAGCUGUUGAUUAAACAGUUCAGACUUAUAAUUUGCCAGAAAGCUCUGCCCCAUGCCUCUUCCACUGCUCUUCCUUAAGACCACUGAAGGAAUGACAUAAGACUCCCACAAGUGUUCAUCAACCCCUGCUGUUAUGCUCCAUGAUGGUCACAAACCUACUUCCAGUGGUGUAGAGUCCAUCUACAUAGUCUCCCCUUGCCCACACUCUUGACUUCCUACCUGCCCAACGUCUACCAGCUGAAGGGGGAGUACACAUUGGACUGGAAAUCAAAGAACAGUGGAGUCUUCUUCCAAUUUUACUUGGAUUCCAGGUAUCAAACUCAGGUUUCUAUUGCCGUGAUGAAACACCAUGACCAAAAAGGACAAAUGGAAAACGGAAAAUAGAAGCAAAGGGCCUGGGAGUGUGACUCAGACUGGCCUGACAUACACAAGGCUGAGUGAAAGGAGCAACGCAGAGAAAGAGACAAAUCCAGAGCGCCUGGUGGAAUGCCGGAAGAAGGGGGAGUAAGCUGUGAGAAGGGUCAAGUGCGGAGUAAUGGAAGCUGGAGUCUGGAAGAGGAGACUGGAGCAUGCGAAAGGCAGACGUGAGGAAUGCGGACAGAGACCAGCUCACUUGAGCGUUUCCUCUGCAGCAUGAGCUGGUCUGCAAGAGCUGCACCCAAGAAAGGGUGGAAGCCUCUGAGAGCCAGGAAGUGUUCUAGGUGCUGUAUUGCUUCAUCACUAAUAAUCUCAGCUACUUGGAAAGAGUCCAGAGGAUGGUGACAGGGAGAGUGGUGAUGGAUGGUGACCCCGCCUAUUUGCCAUCUCCCGGCUCCUUCCUCCUUCGCUGCUCUAACAGGGAUGGUGACCAAAGCUGGAACUUGUAGUGGUUGGAGGGGAGGGAGAGCAGCCUUUUUUCACACAUUCCUGCAAUCCCAUGUCGCCUUUCCUCCUCUGUUUGGCUGCCACACCCAGUUCCCAUCAAUUCAGGGAUGUGAUUAUCAGGAGAAAUGGCCAAAAGUGCCUCACCAACUAUUACA